CAGAAUACCCGGUUAAAUCUGAACUUCAGAUAAACCACAAAGAAUUUUUUUAAGUUUAAGCAUAUCCCACGCACUAUUUGGGACAUACUUAAACUAAAAAAACAAAUUCCUUGUUUAUCUGAAAUUCAGACUUAACUCGGGCAACCUGU
rnacentral:miRNA from 1 species